CACCUGCUCCUUCCUCCUUUCCCCUUCUCCACGGCAAGGAACCAGAAGAAAACCCCCAUGGCCGCAUCUCACAGAAACGUUGAACGUGUCGUCGCCUCCGACCACCCCUCGCCGGUCUGAAGCUACGAGAAGAUGCGCCUCGUCGAGCUCUACGUCCUUGUGCGAGGAAUCAUGCUGUAGCUCUUCCAAUCGUCGACAAUGUCGUCGUUUCUCCGCUCCGGUCAUCACACUCCGAUGAAGUUUUCGGCCGCUACACGCCUCCUCCGACCACCCGACCACUUCUACACCUUUCUGAUCUUCGUCGCUGGCGCCGUUCCGGUUGUCCUCCGGCCGAAGCGCCUCCACCCUCUGGUUCACCGCGCCGAGGCGCACGUCCGCCGCCAUCUCCUUCGUACCGGUUCGCCCGGAAGCGCUAGAUCCUUCCUCGACUGAGUCUCCGCCAUGGCCACCGAGUUCCGCCUCUGCUUCUUUUAACUGGUCGCGAUCCUGCUUCCUGUUGGGUCAAAACAGCCACGGCCUCUUCCUAAACAUAAACCUGUCCUAACCCAGUUGUGUUGCACGUUGCAUUUGCUGCUGAACCACCCAGGCAACCCAGAUCUGAAGCCCAGCGCAUUGUUGUUCCCUGGAGUUUCAAGGUGAAGGUUCUGUGUUCAAUACCAGCCCGAUGCACCUCUUUUUG